GUGACCUCGGAUCAGGUAGGAAUACCCGCUGAACUUAAGCAUAU
rnacentral:rRNA from 4 species